UAGUACACUUAAACUUAAUUUGUACCACUAGGAUAUUAAAAGUUAUGUUCUUUAAAUUUAAAAAACUUGGCGGUGUUUUAGUCUAGUUAGAGGAACCUGUACUAUAAUCGAUACUACACGUAUAAUUUUACUUAUUCUUGUAAGUCAGUUUGUAUACCGUCAUUAUGAGAUAAUUUAUGAGAAAAUAUUAUUUAAAUCAUAUUAUUGAGUAUAUUAGAUCAAGGUGCAGCUUAUGGGUAAGUAGAUAUGGGUUACAAUAAAGUUUAUUUAAUAUGGAUUAAGUACUUAAAUGUAUUUAUGAAAGAGGAUUUAAUUGUAAGAGAAGAGAGUAGAGAGAUUUUCUGGCAUAAGCUCUAAAUUAU
rnacentral:rRNA from 1 species